rnacentral:lncRNA from 1 species
UCAUGAUGGAGAUCCAUUGGUCCAAUAUGCAUCCAUCCACCGCCGUCCAGCAUACUAAUUUCUACCUGAAAAUUUUAAAUAGAGAGGGAUGAGUAUAACGAAUUAUACUCAAUGAGAUACUUGCUACUCCACAUUCAAAUCAAACGUGAAAUUAUGCAUAAAUUCUCUUACCAACAUAACAUGAGAAUUAUCACACCAUGACAAAUGAUAAUUCAAGCAAGCGCUGCAAAUAACGUGAAGGCUAAAUUGUGCCUUAAACUGUAUCAUGAUUU